CCUAUCAACUUUCGAUGACACUUUCUGCACCUACCAUGGUGACCACGGGUAAUGGGGAAUCAGGGUUCGAUUCUG
rnacentral:rRNA from 1 species